rnacentral:rRNA from 1 species
GACAGAGGUGCCGAGCGUUAGGCGGAAUCACUGGGCUUAAAGCGUGUGUAGGCGGACUUCUAAGUACCUUGUGAAAUCCCACGGCUCAACCGUGGAACUGCUUGGUAUACUGGUCGUCUUGAGCCAUCUAGGGGCUGUCGGAACAAAUGGUGGAGCGGUGAAAUGCGUAGAUAUCAUUUGGAACGCCAAUGGUGAAAACAGGUAGCUGGGGAUGUGCUGACGCUGAGACACGAAAGCCAGGGGAGCAAACGGG